rnacentral:rRNA from 1 species
AGUGAACGCUGGCGGUAGGCCUAACACGUGCAAGUCGAACGGCAGCACAGUAAGAGCUUGCUCUUACGGGUGGCGAGUGGCGGACGGGUGAGGAAUACAUCGGAAUCUACUUUUUCGUGGGGGAUAACGUAGGGAAACUUACGCUAAUACCGCAUACGACCUACGGGUGAAAGCAGGGGAUCUUCGGACCUUGCGCGAUUGAAUGAGCCGAUGUCGGAUUAGCUAGUUGGCGGGGUAAAGGCCCACCAAGGCGACGAUCCGUAGCUGGUCUGAGAGGAUGAUCAGCCACACUGGAACUGAGACACGGUCCAGACUCCUACGGGAGGCAGCAGUAGGGAAUAUUGGACAAUGGGCGCAAGCCUGAUCCAGCCAUACCGCGUGGGUGAAGAAGGCCUUCGGGUUGUAAAGCCCUUUUGUUGGGAAAGAAAAGCAGCAGGUUAAUACCCCGCUGUUCUGACGGUACCCAAAGAAUAAGCACCGGCUAACUUCGUG